CCCUUAGAUGUUCUGGGCCGCACGCGCGCUACACUGAUACAUGCAACGAGUUUAUAACCUUGAUCUGACGGUCUGGGUAAUCUUCAAACUGUAUCGUGUUAGGGAUCGAUUCUUGCAAUUUUUAAUCGUAAACGAGGAAUUCCUAGUAAACGCAAGUCAUCAGCUUGCAUUGAUUACGUCCCUGCCCUUUGUACACACCGCCCGUCGACUCUACCGAUUGAAUGGUUCGGUGAAAACUUUGGACUGUGGCAUUGUCCUUCAUUGGACUUCGCCGUAGGAAAUUGUUUAAACCUCAUCAUUGAGAGGAAGAAUAAGUCGUAACA
rnacentral:rRNA from 1 species